rnacentral:rRNA from 1 species
UUUGUCUUUAUGGCAAAUGUGAGAUGCAGUGUAUGGAAUGUCAAAUUUCUAGUAUGAGAAAUUAACGAUUUAAGUCCUUCUUAAAUGAGGCCAUUUACCCAUAGAGGGUGCCAGGCCCGUAUAACGUUAAUGAUUACUAGAUGGCAUUUCCAAAGAGUCGUGUUGCUUGAUAGUGCAGCACUAAGUGGGUGGUAAACUCCAUCUAAAACUAAAUAUAACCAUGAGACCGAUAGUAAACAAGUACCGUGAGGGAAAGUUGAAAAGAACUCUGAAUAGAGAGUUAAAUAGUACGUGAAACUGCUUAGAGGUUAAGCCCGAUGAACCUGAAUAUCCAUUAUAGAAAAUUCAUCAUUAUGAUUUUAAUAUUAAUAAUAUUAUAAUAAUGGUGUGCAUUUUUUCUAUAACGGACAUUGUAAUCUAUUAACAUAAAUAUAUUUAUCAUAAGAUCAAUGAUGCGUAAGUUUAUUCRAAUUAUUUUGCUUGCAAUUUAACAUAGAAUAAAUGCUCUUGAUUUGAUAAAGUGUUGAUAGAUUUAUUGUAUAUAGUGCUUAAAUAUUUAUAUUUUAUAAUAGCAUAUUAAUCAUUGAUUUUUAUGUUUAUUAUAUGCACUUAUAUGAUUAACAAUGCGAAAGAUUCAGGAUACCUUCGGGACCCGUCUUGAAACACGGACCAAGGAGUCUAACAUAUUUGCAAGUUAUUGGGUAUCAAAACCUAAUAGCGAAAUUAACAUAACUUUAAUGGGAUUAGUUUUUAGAUUAUUUAUAGUCUAUUAAUUCAAUCCCGGGGCGUUCUAUAUAGUUAUGUAUAAUAAUAUUUAUAUUAUUUAUACCUCUAACUAGAGCGUACCUUGAGCAUAUAUGCUGUGACCCGAAAGAUGGUGAACUAUACUUGAUCAGGUUGAAGUCAGGGGAAACCCUGAUGGAAGACCGAAACAGUUCUGACGUGCAAAUCGA